GACGAACGCUGGCGGCGUGCUUAACACAUGCAAGUCGAACGAUGAAGCCCUUCGGGGUGGAUUAGUGGCGAACGGGUGAGUAACACGUGGGCAAUCUGCCCUUCACUCUGGGACAAGCCCUGGAAACGGGGUCUAAUACCGGAUAACACUCUGUCCCGCAUGGGACGGGGUUAAAAGCUCCGGCGGUGAAGGAUGAGCCCGCGGCCUAUCAGCUUGUUGGUGGGGUAAUGGCCUACCAAGGCGACGACGGGUAGCCGGCCUGAGAGGGCGACCGGCCACACUGGGACUGAGACACGGCCCAGACUCCUACGGGAGGCAGCAGUGGGGAAUAUUGCACAAUGGGCGAAAGCCUGAUGCAGCGACGCCGCGUGAGGGAUGACGGCCUUCGGGUUGUAAACCUCUUUCAGCAGGGAAGAAGCGAAAGUGACGGUACCUGCAGAAGAAGCGCCGGCUAACUACGUGCCAGCAGCCGCGGUAAUACGUAGGGCGCAAGCGUUGUCCGGAAUUAUUGGGCGUAAAGAGCUCGUAGGCGGCUUGUCACGUCGGAUGUGAAAGCCCGGGGCUUAACCCCGGGUCUGCAUUCGAUACGGGCUAGCUAGAGUGUGGUAGGGGAGAUCGGAAUUCCUGGUGUAGCGGUGAAAUGCGCAGAUAUCAGGAGGAACACCGGUGGCGAAGGCGGAUCUCUGGGCCAUUACUGACGCUGAGGAGCGAAAGCGUGGGGAGCGAACAGGAUUAGAUACCCUGGUAGUCCACGCCGUAAACGUUGGGAACUAGGUGUUGGCGACAUUCCACGUCGUCGGUGCCGCAGCUAACGCAUUAAGUUCCCCGCCUGGGGAGUACGGCCGCAAGGCUAAAACUCAAAGGAAUUGACGGGGGCCCGCACAAGCAGCGGAGCAUGUGGCUUAAUUCGACGCAACGCGAAGAACCUUACCAAGGCUUGACAUAUACCGGAAAGCAUCAGAGAUGGUGCCCCCCUUGUGGUCGGUAUACAGGUGGUGCAUGGCUGUCGCCAGCUCGUGUCGUGAGAUGUUGGGUUAAGUCCCGCAACGAGCGCAACCCUUGUUCUGUGUUGCCAGCAUGCCCUUCGGGGUGAUGGGGACUCACAGGAGACUGCCGGGGUCAACUCGGAGGAAGGUGGGGACGACGUCAAGUCAUCAUGCCCCUUAUGUCUUGGGCUGCACACGUGCUACAAUGGCCGGUACAAUGAGCUGCGAUGCCGCGAGGCGGAGCGAAUCUCAAAAAGCCGGUCUCAGUUCGGAUUGGGGUCUGCAACUCGACCCCAUGAAGUCGGAGUUGCUAGUAAUCGCAGAUCAGCAUUGCUGCGGUGAAUACGUUCCCGGGCCUUGUACACACCGCCCGUCACGUCACGAAAGUCGGUAACACCCGAAGCCGGUGGCCCAACCCCUUGUGGGAGGGAGCUGUCGAAGGUGGGACUGGCGAUUGGGACG
rnacentral:rRNA from 1 species